rnacentral:rRNA from 1 species
GAAACCCGGUGAUCUAGCCAUGGGCAGGUUGAAGGUUGGGUAACACUAACUGGAGGACCGAACCGACUAAUGUUGAAAAAUUAGCGGAUGACUUGUGGCUGGGGGUGAAAGGCCAAUCAAACCGGGAGAUAGCUGGUUCUCCCCGAAAGCUAUUUAGGUAGCGCCUCGUGAACUCAUCUUCGGGGGUAGAGCACUGUUUCGGCUAGGGGGUCAUCCCGACUUACCAACCCGAUGCAAACUACGAAUACCGAAGAAUGUUAUCACGGGAGACACACGGCGGGUGCUAACGUCCGUCGUGAAGAGGGAAACAACCCAGACCGCCAGCUAAGGUCCCAAAGUCAUGGUUAAGUGGGAAACGAUGUGGGAAGGCAUAGACAGCCAGGAUGUUGGCUUAGAAGCAGCCAUCAUUUAAAAAAUAGCUCACUGGUCGAGUCGGCCUGCGCGGAAGAUGUAAACGGGGCUAAACCAUGCACCGAAGCUGCGGCAGCGACACUAAGUGUUGUUGGGUAGGGGAGCGUUCUGUAAGCCUGUGAAGGUGGCCUGUGAGGGCUGCUGGAGGUAUCAGAAGUGCGAAUGCUGACAUAAGUAACGAAAGCGGGUGAAAAGCCCGCUCGCCGGAAGACCAAGGGUUCCUGUCCAACGUUAAUCGGGGCAGGGUAAGUCGACCCCUAAGGCGAGGCCGAAAGGCGUAGUCGAUGGGAAACAGGUUAAUAUUCCUGUACUUGGUGUUAUUGCGAAGGGGGGACGGAGAAGGCUAGACCGCCGGGCGACGGUUGUCCCGGUUUAAGCGUGUAGGUGUGAUGACCUGGCAAAUCCGGUUAUCUCUAACACUGAGGCGUGAUGACGAGGCACUACGGUGCUGAAGUGGUUAAUGCCCUGCUUCCAGGAAAAGCCUCUAAGCUCUAGAUAACACUGAAUCGUACCCCAAACCGACACAGGUGGUCAGGUAGAGAAUACCAAGGCGCUUGAGAGAACUCCGGGUGAAGGAACUAGGCAAAAUGGUGCCGUAACUUCGGGAGAAGGCACGCUGGCAUGUAGGUGAAGUCCCUCGCGGAUGGAGCCGAAGCCAGUCGAAGAUACCAGCUGGCUGCAACUGUUUAAUAAAAACACAGCACUCUGCAAACACGAAAGUGGACGUAUAGGGUGUGACGCCUGCCCGGUGCUGGAAGGUUAAUUGAUGGGUCAGCCGCAAGGCGAAGCUCUUGAUCGAAGCCCAGUAAACGGCGGCCGUAACUAUAACGGUCCUAAGGUAGCGAAAUUCCUUGUCGGGUAAGUUCCGACCUGCACGAAUGGCGUAAUGAUGGCCAGGCUGUCUCCACACCCGAGACUCAGUGAAAUUGAACUCGCUGUGAAGAUGCAGUGUACCCGCGGCAAGACGGAAAGACCCGUGAACCUUUACUAUAGCUUGACACUGAACAUUGAACCUUGAUGUGUAGGAUAGGUGGGAGGCUUUGAAGUGUGGACGCCAGUCUGCAUGGAGCCGACCUUGAAAUACCACCCUUUAAUGUUUGAUGUUCUAACCUGGUCCCGUAAUCCGGAUAGGGACAGUGUCUGGUGGGUAGUUUGACUGGGGCGGUCUCCUCCCAAAGAGUAACGGAGGAGCACGAAGGUUAGCUAAUCCUGGUCGGACAUCAGGAGGUUAGUGCAAAGGCAUAAGCUAGCUUGACUGCGAGAGUGACGGCUCGAGCCAGGUGCGAAAGCAGGUCUUAGUGAUCCGGUGGUUCUGAAUGGAAGGGCCAUCGCUCAACGGAUAAAAGGUACUCCGGGGAUAACAGGCUGAUACCGCCCAAGAGUUCAUAUCGACGGCGGUGUUUGGCACCUCGAUGUCGGCUCAUCACAUCCUGGGGCUGAAGUAGGUCCCAAGGGUAUGGCUGUUCGCCAUUUAAAGUGGUACGCGAGCUGGGUUUAGAACGUCGUGAGACAGUUCGGUCCCUAUCUGCCGUGGGCGUUGGAAGAUUGAGAGGGGCUGCUCCUAGUACGAGAGGACCGGAGUGGACGCACCGCUGGUGUUCGGGUUGUGAUGCCAAUUGCAUUGCCCGGUAGCUACGUGCGGAAGAGAUAAGCGCUGAAAGCAUCUAAGCGCGAAACUUGCCUCGAGAUGAGUCUUCCCUUGGACCUUGAGUCCACUAAAGGAACGUUUAAGACUAAGACGUUGAUAGGCUGGGUGUGUAAGCGUAGCGAUACGUUGAGCUAACCAGUACUAAUGAUCCGUGAGGCUUAACCUU